UACGGGGGGGGUAAGCGUUGUUCGGAAUUACUGGGCGUAAAGGGCUCGUAGGCGGCCAACUAAGUCAUACGUGAAAUCCCUCAGCUUAACUGGGGAACUGCGUGUGAUACUGGAUGGCUUGGAUUUGGGAGAGGGAUGCGGAAUUCCAGGUGUAGCGGUGAAAUGCGCAGAUAUCGGGAGGAACACCGGUGGCGAAGGCGGCUCUCUGGGACGGUACUGACGCUGAGACGCGAAAGCGUGGGGAGCGAACAGG
rnacentral:rRNA from 1 species